rnacentral:rRNA from 1 species
GUAACAUAUAGUUAAUGUACCUUCAAGACUGGGAUAGCCACUGGAAACGGUGAUUAAUACUAGAUAUACCUUCAUAUCAAAAGCUAUGAAGGGAAACGUUUUUUCGCUUGAAGAUCAGACUAUAUCCCAUCAGUUAGUUGGUAGGGUAAUGGCCUACCAAGGCAAUGACGGGUAGCGGGUUUGAGAGGAUGAUCCGCCACACUGGUACUGAGACACGGACCAGACUCCUACGGGAGGCAGCAGUGAGGAAUAUUGCACAAUGGAGGAAACUCUGAUGCAGCAACGCCGCGUGGAGGAUGACGCAUUUCGGUGUGUAAACUCCUUUUAUGAGUCAAGAAAAUGACGGUAGCUCAUGAAUAAGCACCGGCUAACUCCGUGCCAGCAGCCGCGGUAAUACGGAGGGUGCAAGCGUUACUCGGAAUCACUGGGCGUAAAGGACGCGUAGGCGGGAUGUCAAGUCAGGUGUGAAAUCCUAUGGCUCAACCAUAGAACUGCAUUUGAAACUGGCAACCUAGAGUAUGGGAGGGGGAGAUGGAAUUAGUGGUGUAGGGGGUAAAAUCCGUAGAUAUCACUAGGAAUACCUAAAGCGAAGGCGAUCUCCUGGAACAUAACUGACGCUAAGGCGUGAAAGCGUGGGGAGCAAACAGGAUUAGAUACCCUGGUAGUCCACGCCCUAAACGAUGAACACUAGUCGUCGUGAUGCUUGUCAUUGCGGUGAUGCACUUAACAGAUUAAGUGUUCCGCCUGGGGAGUACGGUCGCAAGAUUAAAACUCAAAGGAAUAGACGGGGACCCGCACAAGUGGUGGAGCAUGUGGUUUAAUUCGAAGAUACGCGAAAAACCUUACCUGGGCCUUGACAUUGAUAGAAUCCAGCAGAGAUGCAGGAGUGCCCUUCGGGGAGCUUGAAAACAGGUGCUGCACGGCUGUCGUCGGCUCGUGUCGUGAGGUGUUGGGUUAAGUCCCGCAACGAGCGC